AACGAACGCUGGCGGCAGGCCUAACACAUGCAAGUCGAACGCUCUAGCAAUAGGGAGUGGCGCACGGGUGAGUGACGCGUAGGAAUCUACCCAUUAGCCUGGGAUAACAGCGGGAAACUGCUGCUAAUACCGGAUACGCCCCUUCGGGGGGAAAGGUUUACUACUAAUGGAUGAGCCUGCGUUAGAUUAGCUAGUUGGUGAGGUAAUGGCUCACCAAGGCUCCGAUCUAUAGCCGGUCUGAGAGGACGAUCGGCCACACGGGGACUGAGACACGGCCCAGACUCCUGCGGGAGGCAGCAGUGGGGAAUAUUGGGCAAUGGGCGCAAGCCUGACCCAGCCAUGCCGCGUGAGUGAUGAAGGCCUUAGGGUUGUAAAGCUCUUUUAGUAGUGAAGAUGAUGACAGUAGCUACAGAAAAAGCCCCGGCUAACUUCGUGCCAGCCGCCGCCGUAACAC
rnacentral:rRNA from 1 species